UCCCCCUUGCCUUUGGCAAUUAGAGAAAAUAUGUAUGCCUUUAAGUAUGAAGUACUCAUUUCUUCAAAUCCAACCCAACCACUCCUGAUGACACUCACAGACAGUGCUUUCAAAUCACCAUGCUGGGGAGAUGCACCCAAGACAUCCUGAAGUUACCCAGUUUCACAAGGCCACGGUGAAAUUGGGCAUUCGGGAAUGAGCAGGUGGCAUAAGUCUCAUCUACCAUUAACAUCAGCUGUUGGUGAGCAGCAAGGAAAUUUUAGUUACAUUUAAAAAAAUGAAAUGCAAAAACCUUCUAGUUACUUUUUAGUUAAAUUGUGCCCGGAGACAGAUAUUAUCAAUGAUAUUUACUUUAAUAUAUUAAAUCAUAAUGAUUCUAUUUGUCAUUUGUACUUUCCUAAGCACAAAAUAAGUUAUGGGCUUUUAAGUAUAUUCCAACGGUUCCAAAUAAUAUUUUUGCUGAUGUUUAAAGAAGGAGAAAGCAAAGAAAACAAAUUACUUGCAGAUAGAGUUUAGCAGACACCUUCAUUCAGUUUAAAAAUCAAUGUGUUUAUCCGGUUUACUUACUCUUACAAAUCACUGAAAUCACCUUGAGAGGCUCAAGUUCACCUUUCUGGAUUUAAGCCUGUUAAAUAACAGACACCAUCAAGUCGUCCCCGUAAAAGGACAACUUAGAUGCUCGGCUUUAUAGGGUGUAGUAAAAGUUAGCACACUUCUACCUACAAAGCUACAAAAAAGACCUUAAGACAGCUACAAAGGGAAACAAACAGAGGACAGGAGAGCAAAAAAAGUUCCUUUUUCACAGCAAAACAAAAUCCCUGCUGGUACAGUAUCCCAGGCAGUCUCCAGAACAGCUGGAUAAAGGCAUACAAAUAAUUUAAGCCAACACAAAAUUCAUCAAGUAUGAAGAAAGAAUGAAGAAAAAAAAAAAACAACAACUUGAGACUAAAAUGAAAACCUUUUGGCCCACAGCACAGGUUGGGCACAAAAGUGCUGGCUAAGCUAUCUAUUUCACACAUGCAACGACAGAAGGUUCGAUAUUCAUUCGAUCGAUGAGUGAAAAGGCACAAUGGCAAAAUCAGACAGACUUCUUUUCAAAUACAGAUCUCCAAUGUCCCCCUCCAGUCUGCAGCUGCACGGCUGGUGGUGUGGUUCAGACGGAGCAAGGGUUACAUCAAGGCUGCUCUCUGGACCGUGCAAACAGUCUAGACCAAUGACCUGCAGCAUCAUGCCCUUUGAAGAAGAGGCAAGUUCGGUCAUGAUGAAGAAGAAUCGAGGCGUACCCCCUUUUAACAAUAGGGAGCAGCUCGAGGCUGCAAAGAGAAAAUACCUGGGAUAAGACACGAACAUUUGAACUUUGCAUUUCAAUAUUACUAUUUUCAUAUAGUAAUCAUCCACACACUAGUAAAAACAGUACUGAUUAUUAAGGUGACUCUAUGAAAGGAUCACUCCAAAAUGACACACACCAGAAUAGAGGUCCUGUCUUACUAAGCACUAUACAGUAUGGAGAGAUCCUGCCAAACCCGUCGGGACGAAUAACAGAUGAAUUCGUAAAACUGUUCAUCUCUGUUAUCCUGAAUGGUCGCUCAGACAACAUUUUACUCAACUAUAAAGGGGAACACUUAAAGUGCAUAUGAGAAGAGAAGAGAAUGACCACAGGAGAAAAUCAUCUCAGGUCUUUAAUCGCAGUCCUCACCGACCGCAGAGACAAGAAUGACAGGGACACCAAGUCGGGUUCAUGCAACAGCUUCUUCUGUUACUUGUGGCUUUCUCUCUUACAGCAAUCUCCACCCAGGGCAAGGGGAACCACAACAACCCUCCUAUACUCGAGCCGACUGACCUCAUCCAAUCAGAAAUCUCACACGCUCCAGGCACGAGCUCAAGUCGGUCACGAUAGGCUAACAGAUCCGGAUCAUGACAGAUCCGGAUCUUGAGUAAUACGCAUGCUUUUUUACUGUGCAUGCUCGGACAAGACAGUAAACGUGGGUUUCAUGGGGCCCGGGAAUGGGCCAGGGCGCCAUCUUGGCCCAUGCAGCCUCACCCGCUUCCCACACUUUAAUAGCAGAUAAAAUAUAGCUUUAGAAGCUCACUGUAUAUUUUCUGUAUUUCUCUGGAUAAACCCUGUUGUUGCAGGUUCAGAGCACUAGAAGAAUUUUAGUGGUGUAUUUGGGAAUAGUGAGUAUCCAUUUUAAAUAAUUUCUAAAGGAAUUUGCUUAACAAAGUAUGCAAGGAGUAAAGGAUAUUAAUUUGUGGUGAAAUGGGAUGACUUAUAAAAUUAUCUCUGAAAGAAGAAGCAGAGAAAUACAAGGCAAUAACAAUAAAGAAAAGUAAGACUUUUAGCAAAAAGCUGACUUUUUAAAAAACAUCUUGUUAAACUUACUGGGCUGUGAGGAUGUCGUUUUAAUUCUGCAUACCUUGAAAACCCAAGAAAUUGUCCACUUUCUGAAAUGUAUUGUGUCACCUUGUGUAUUCAAGAGAAAAACAUGUAGAGUUUACUAGAAAAAGUUUGAGAACUGUAGAAGAAUCUAAACACACUCAUUAAUAGUAAGUGUGUAACCACUUCUAGCCCCUUCCUAUGCCCUAGCCUCUCAGAAGUUCUGAUGUCUAGUAAUGCCUACACUGAUAUUUAUUCCUAAAAUUCUUCCAUUUUGAGAAUAGCAUCCUCUUGAGAAUGGCCUUUUCUCCUUCUUAGCAUAAUUCUCUGCAGAUUAACCUAAGUGAUUAUGAGUGAUUACAAGCUAGAUUACUAUCAUUUUUAAACCUACUCAUUUACUGGUAAACACCUGGAUUAGUUCCAGAUAUUGCUGUUAUGUGUACAGUUCCUAUAAACACUACUGUAUAGGUUUUGGUUUUAUAGAUCUACAGGAAAUGAGGAAGAGUCUAAUUUCUGGUUUGUGGUGUUACUUCCCCAUUCGACUAACAAGAAAUUGAAAUUCUGUCCUAGAGUGGAUGUACAGUUGUUUUCAUUGUUAUAUUUAAUAUGGUAUAAAAUAUCUAAACUGUCAUAUGUGAUUCUCUACACCUCAAUUUGGACAAUGAUGCUAAAAAUACCAUAUGUUUUUUCUUCU